UCCCGCAUGGUGUAAUGGUUUAACAUACCGGGUUUUCACGAUUGAUCGGUGGGUGGUCUAGCAUGCCUCGGAGCUUCGAGUUCGAUUCUUGGUGCGGGAA